rnacentral:rRNA from 1 species
GAUGAACGCUGGCGGCGUGCCUAAUACAUGCAAGUCGAGCGAACAGACGAGGAGCUUGCUCCUCUGACGUUAGCGGCGGACGGGUGAGUAACACGUGGAUAACCUACCUAUAAGACUGGGAUAACUUCGGGAAACCGGAGCUAAUACCGGAUAAUAUAUUGAACCGCAUGGUUCAAUAGUGAAAGACGGUUUUGCUGUCACUUAUAGAUGGAUCCGCGCCGCAUUAGCUAGUUGGUAAGGUAACGGCUUACCAAGGCAACGAUGCGUAGCCGACCUGAGAGGGUGAUCGGCAACACUGGAACUGAGACACGGUCCAGACUCCUACGGGAGGCAGAAGUAGGGAAUCUUCCGCAAUGGGCGAAAGCUUGACGGAGCAACGCCGCGUGAGUGAUGAAGGUCUUCGGAUCGUAAAACUCUGUUAUUAGGGAAGAACAAAUGUGUAAGUAACUAUGCACGUCUUGACGGUACCUAAUCAGAAAGCCACGGCUAACUACGUG